rnacentral:rRNA from 1 species
AUUGAACGCUGGCGGCAUGCCUAACACAUGCAAGUCGAACGGUAACGCGGGGGCAACCCUGGCGACGAGUGGCGGACGGGUGAGUAAUACGUAGGAAUCUGCCCAUUUGUGGGGGAUAACCCGGCGAAAGCCGGGCUAAUACCGCAUACGCUCUACGGAGGAAAGCGGGGGAUCGUAAGACCUCGCGCUAAUGGAUGAGCCUACGUCGGAUUAGCUAGUUGGUAGGGUAACGGCCUACCAAGGCGACGAUCCGUAGCUGGUCUGAGAGGACGAUCA